GAGUGUGGCUCGGUGGUAGAGCAUUUGCCUAGGAUGGGGAAGGCCCGGGGUUCAAUCCCCAGCACCA
rnacentral:tRNA from 1 species